AUACGGAGGGUGCAAGCGUUACUCGGAAUCACUGGGCGUAAAGCGCGCGCAGGCGGCUUGAUAAGUUGGAUGUGAAAGCCUACGGCUCAACCGUAGAACUGCAUCCAUAACUGUCAGGCUAGAGUGUGGGAGAGGAAGAUGGAAUUAGUUGUGUAGGGGUAAAAUCCGUAGAGAUAACUAGGAAUACCAAAAGCGAAGGCAAUCUUCUGGAACACUACUGACGCUGAGGCGCGAAGGCGUGGGGAGCAAACAGGAUUAGAUACCCCAGUAGUCC
rnacentral:rRNA from 1 species